rnacentral:rRNA from 1 species
CGAAUGAGGAGAUUCAUCGUCAGCUUAUUCAGUAUUAAUGCAGGCCAUGAUGUGAUAAUAGAAUCCUUGUGGUCACUAGAUUAUACUUGCUUGUAUUAUUUUUGCUGGGUAUGUCGGCGUGCACUUCUCCUCUAGUAGAACGUCGCAACCCGUUGGAUGUUUAUCUAUGGCUUGAAUGGUAGCCUUUGAUAUUUUUUAUAUUGAAGACCUUCGAUGUCCUGAUAAACUGUUUGACGGUAUACAUAUGGUAUUGAGCCGCAAUUAUUUGCGUUAGACUUGCCGCAAGUAUGACUUUAUUCUAGUAGUGCGGAUCUAAUGCCGUCGCUGGACAAAGUCUGCUGUUAGCUGUGUAAUGUCUUUAACUGGCUUAUUUACCGGUUAGCGAUG